ensembl:miRNA Mir450-2 microRNA 450-2
GAACUAUUUUUGCGAUGUGUUCCUAAUAUGUACUAUGAGUAUAUUGGGGAUGCUUUGCAUUCAUGGUUC